UUGAUUUUAGUUAGUUUGUGAAGGUACUACGAAUUGACAACAAAAUAUCUAUAGUCAAAACAAAAUAAAUCA
rnacentral:misc_RNA from 1 species